rnacentral:rRNA from 1 species
UACGUAGGGGGCAAGCGUUGUCCGGAUUUAUUGGGCGUAAAGAGCGUGUAGGCGGCCAGGUAGGUCGGUUGUGAAAACUGGAGGCUCAACCUUCAGAGGUCGACCGAAACCAUCUGGCUAGAGUCCGGGAGAGGAGAGUGGAAUUCCUGGUGUAGCGGUGAAAUGCGUAGAGAUCAGGAAGAACAUCGGUGGCGGAGGCGCUCUGCUGGACCAUAACUGACACUCAGGGACGAAAGCUAGGGGAGCGAAUGGG